AAUUUUCACUUUGUGAUUGUUCCUGGUCCAGGCUGGGAAACCUCUGUAAACAUGUCAUCAAGGUGGCCACUUUCUGCAGAAGCCGACAGGUUGCAAGACCAUCAUUGUCUGCUCAAGUUUAUAAACAGGCUUUGCUGACUCUUCUUCAUAAUCCUCCUGAUGAUCCUUUAGUUCUGGAUCAUACAAUUCUACAUGUGACCCGUUUGCAACAAGACAUUAAAGCCUUGGAAGAAUUGUCCAACAGUGGAUUGCUCCAGCCUAUAGCUCCUGAUUUGAGUUCUCCAAUGACUGAAAAUCCUCUUCCUUUUCAGCGCAUCCAGUGAGUGACCCAUUUUGAGAAUAGAUUAACUAUGUUCAAGUUAAAUCACAUUUUCGUGCUUAUCAACUUGAGGGUAUGUUGUGAUCCUUGAACGAUCAACUUGCAAGGAAAGGAUAAAAAGGGAUAUAACCGUGCUUUCAACGAGGUUCCAUAACUAUUUGGUCCAUGAAACCACAACACUCUUUGCAGAAGUUACAGUCUUGAAGUGCUACUUAUGGUCCGAACAUUUAUUUGUAAAGCAUUCUUGACCUUCCAAAUACAGUGUAGGUGGAGUUUGACCAAUGGUUAUCGGAAGUUUGAGGAUGAAGAUGAACUCCAGGGAGCCAAAAGAAAUGAGAAGGGAAGGAACAACCCAGUCUAGGUUAUGUUGAGGUUCAUAAAUGCAUUGAGACUUUAAGGUGUUUUGCAGAUCAAACCACCACGCAGUCAGUGUCGUGAUCAUUGGAAGAGAUAUUCAUUUGAUAUGGUGUCUCUUGGUGUAGGAUACUCGGGUGAUAAGUCGUUAGAUGUCACAUGA